UGGAGUCCUUGGUAAGCGGCGUUUCGAUAAUCGAACUCGCGGUUCGAGCCUCGCUCGGCUAAUUUCCUGGUUUACCGAGAUCUCGGUCACGUGGGUUGGCGACGCUGAGUUUAACCGUAGACGUAAAUUUGAAUUCUGUCCCGGGUGUUUACAUGUCGGAAGGACACGAGCUCGCUGGAAGUGCGAUUGUCCACCGGUCGUCACUUCGAGAGGAAAAACGAGUUGAGGGCUCUUCCCGUCUUGCUGGGGUACGUUCCAAAAUCAACCUUGGUUAACUUCGGAGGUUAAAAGAGUGGUAGGAGUAUAGGUUACUUGAGGUACUUCUACCGUAGAAGUUGUUUUGGAACGAGUAGGCUGUUAGCUACACUACUGAACUGAUACAGCUAUAAAAAGAAUAGAUCAUAUGCAAUUAUGGCAGCAGAAGUAAAUAGAAGACGCAUAAUAACAUUCAGUGCAUUUGCUGCAA